rnacentral:rRNA from 1 species
GGUUAAGUGACUAAGCGUACACGGUGGAUGCCUUGGCAGUCAGAGGCGAUGAAAGACGUAGUAACUUGCGAUAAGCCCAGAUUAGGUAGUAACAACCAUUUGAGUCUGGGAUUUCUGAAUGGGGAAACCCACGUGCAUAAGCACGUAUCCUUACCUGAAUACAUAGGGUAA